UACGUAGGGUGCAAGCGUUGUCCGGAAUUAUUGGGCGUAAAGAGCUCGUAGGCGGUUUGUCGCGUCGAAUGUGAAAACCCGGGGCUCAACUCCGGGCCUGCAUUCGAUACGGGCAGACUAGAGUUCGGUAGGGGAGACUGGAAUUCCUGGUGUAGCGGUGAAAUGCGCAGAUAUCAGGAGGAACACCGGCGGCGAAGGCGGCCCGCUGGGCAGGAAGGCUCGCAAGAGCCGGCUGACGCUGAGGCGCGACAGCGUGGGGAGCAAACAGG
rnacentral:rRNA from 1 species